ACGGGUGAGUAACACGUGGAUAACCUACCUAUAAGACUGGGAUAACUACGGGAAACCGGAGCUAAUACCGGAUAAUAUAUUGAACCGCAUGGUUCAAUAGUGAAAGACGGUUUUGCUGUCACUUAUAGAUGGAUCCGCGCCGCAUUAGCUAGUUGGUAAGGUAACGGAUUACCAAGGCAACGAUGCGUAGCCGACCUGAGAGGGUGAUCGGCCACACUGGAACUGAGACACGGUCCAG
rnacentral:rRNA from 1 species